GGCCAGAGCUACGAUCCGGUGCCCAGCGGUAACACACUGCAUCAUGUUGUAGCAGCUGUCUUUGCCCCCACUGGACCACAAGAGAAACAGCCACAGAGGAUUCAUCUGCUGGCUGGACUGCCUGCCUCUCAUCUGUGGGAGUGGGGUUUGAUGCCUUCAAGUACCAGCCAGCUAUAAAAGACACAUCCUGAUGGGCCUUCCUCUGUUGUGUUUAAUAGCUGUCUCACCCCACCCUACCCCACCAACCUCCCCCAUCCUGACCUCCACCACCACAUCCACCCUCAGCCUCUGCUCUGGCCCUUGGCUAACCUCUCGUAUGCAGGGUUCAGGGUCAGGGCAGCAGACUCCCAGCCAAUUGGGCGGUUGCCCAGAGGAGCUGAUGCAGGAGAGACGUAAGAGACCCAGAGACCCCUCUGAUGUUCCCGAGAGUUUCCAAAGAGGGAGAGGCUGCGUACUGUUUACAACAUCUUUAAUUUAGGGAGGGAAGGAGCGACACACAGGCUUACACAGAGCAUGACGAAAGAGCGGUACAGUGUAUAAAUAAGUGUCACGUAAAAAGAAGUAUGUGGCUCUUUCAUUGCAGUCAAACAGCUGAAUGAAGACAGAUAAAAGAGUGACAUGCACAUUAAUGCUUUCUUUGAUGUAGUUCUGGGACUCAAGCCCCCUUUUUUUUUUAAAGUGCGCACAAACUUUCUUUCAUUGCAACGUAAUGAGAUCAUUCUUAAGUGACAAACAGCCGAAGAUAAAGACACACAGAAGUUUAGUUUAAGAUUACUGGCCAGUCAUGUUCUAGUUCUGGACAGAAAAUAACCAAAAAAGAGAAAUGCAGACAAAAAAUAAGAUGAGAGAAAGAAGAGACAGUAAAAAGUGGAGAAAUUAGAACAAGUUGUGACAUUAUGGAGUGUUUUACAGAAAGCAUCUAAAUCAGGGUACAUUUCGUUUUAUGAAUUUGUUUGUUCAGCUAAUUUCACGGAGGACAGUGAAUGCUACUUCUGCUCAUUGCUACUUAAUGAAGUCUCUUCCGGCCUUGAGAGCACUGAUUCAAGAGCCGGGUAUCUGCUUCUUCCUGCUGCAGGACAAACCUCUAACAUUUUAAAAUGAUGUGCGUGGGAAUAUUUGACAUUAUCAAUUUAUGUCUGUGCUUCUUUUGUUUCCUGCGGAUAUGAAAUACCAUUCUGCUGUUGUUCCUUCUUCUAGCUUAUUUCCUAAGCAACUAUGAUUGUACAGUGGACCAAAACAAUGGAUGUAACUCUUUUAAGGAGCGUAUUUCGCAGUAAAGACAACGACAAUGCAAACAAUACACGUAACACCCACAAAGCCCACUUCCUGAAAUGGAUUCUUCGGAAUAACAAAUGUUGGCUGCUUAUGGCUCUCUGAUGGCUUCAUUUUUCACUCGGUAUAACUCGCUAAUUUUUACUGCUCAAUGUCCUCCACUCAGCCUGUGUCACUAAGUCAUAAGCAUGCUGCUCCUGGCUGAUAUAUGGGUCUGCACGAUGAUGUCAGCGAAAAACACUUUCAAUAAUUGCUAUGAUUAAUAUUCUCAACCUUCCAACACCUUCCCUUCUCCAUCCAGCCACAUAUCUCCAGCAAGGUUCAUCUAUCAGUCUGCUCUCAAACUGUUUAAGUCCUCCGAGUGAUGCAUGGCACACUGCCAACCCUGUGUUCCAAUGCAAACUAUUUACAUUCAUUCAAAUUAUGAGUCGAUGAGCCUCCGGUGCAUAAAAUUACCAUGAGUUAAAGAGGUAGAAAGAGGGAGAGGAUCAGAGUAUUUACUAUUUAAUUGUUUCAACUUCAUUGUGCAACAAAGGGGAAUUUUCCCUGUAUAUCAGUUGGAAUGAUGAUAUCAAAACGUGUUGUGUUUGUCUUAUUUUCCAAACAGUCUUUGCUAUUAAUUAUUAAGUGAAUACAUGUGAAUUUUACAGCUAUAAAAGUGUUUAUUUACCACAUUUACCCUGUCUAUGUACAUGAUCACAAUGUCCUACAGCUGGCUCCACCGGCUGGAAUGUGCGUCGAGCUCUCACAGGACGGGCUUCCUCUUGGCCUGCACUCUAAUUGUUUAGGAGGAAAAAGGUGAAACAGAUAUGUAUAAACAGCGGAGGUCUUCCAGAAAGUCCAGAGUGGCGUAUAAAGGGCCUGGGACAGUAGCUGACCUGUCAUAUUCACCAUUCACACUGAGAAGUCAGGGCUGCCAUAUUCUGUCUACUGGCAUCAGAAAAAAUAAACUCUCGCUUCCUCAAUGUUGAUGGACAAAUUCAUUCUCCAGAGGAAAACACUACUCACACAAGCUGGCUUUGAACAAGUCAGGCAAUCUGCAGUACAUAUACAAUAAUACAACAGAUAAUUAUAGAGUAUACAGUAGAUUAUUGUGACUUGUGCUUCACUAAAUGAACUAUAGUCAGUCCAAAUUAAUGUUUAAAGAAAUAUACAGUAAAUAGAAUCUUUUGCACUCUCUGGGACCAAGCUUGUAUUAAACAAUCCAACUAUUUCAGGGAUAUUGGUACAACUUGCUGAUACUUGCUUUCUGGCCCUUUGUCAUAAAAUCUAUGAAAAUAAUUUAUUUCAUGAACUGUACACUUUGAAAACUGGACUAUUGACUGAACGAUGUUUGUGCAUUUUGUCUGUGUGAUUUCAGCUGAUUAUAUACCGAUUUUCUUCAACCAUAUACUUAAAUUAUAUGCUUUGUAUAUGCUGGUUUAGGACAAGAUACUACAGUGUAUGUUGUUUAUGUGAUGUGAGGAAAAGAUUACAAAUUGUACAUGUGACAUAGCUACAUGUGUAUUUUGUAUGCAUUUCUAUGUCUCACGUUUUAAUGAAGGUGGAGAGGUAAAACGUUCAUGUCUUAAUCUUUCUUCACUCAGUAUAAAGCGACUUUAUAUAUAUUUAUACAGCAAUGAAUGAGUAUCUGUCCUAUGUAGGCUAUGCAGAUAAGUAUUUUGGGUAUCUGUAUGUAUUUUUUUGUCACUUUCUAUUUUGAGUUGUUUUGUCUUAAUGCCUGUGCAUCUGUCAUGCCGGUUCAUGCAGCACUUCAUUGUCUUUGUGUAUCCAAAAAGUGCUGAUCAUAAAAAAGAAAUAUGGUCAUCGCUGGGAAUAUGCCAGCUCCCUGUAUGAAUGAGAUCCUUAGACAGUGAUGUUCAGUGUAACAAAUUGAUAGGAGUCAAUUAAGCAUCUAUUAUUAACCUCCUAUGGUUCAUUGUCAAUUAUCUGUCCCAUUAACUCUGUAAUAUUGUACGCAGUAUGUGUUUAACACUGAGGAGAUCCAGCAUGGCUCAUAUCUAAUCUGCACUUAUGAAAAAAUUGCAGAAAUGAUGACUUUUAAUGUCAAUUCAAUUUAAUUAGAUUUAAUGAAAUGGUUAAGGUCAUUUAUACCUCUGUUCCUUGGCUCUUAGAUGAUUUAUAGUAAUAAUAAGGUAUGCUUAUAUAGAUUAGUCAUAAAUUCCCCACACUUGUUCUACAGUCUUAAAGUCAAGGCACAAAGAUGUUUUUCUGCAGUGAUUACCAUAUUAAAGAUAAUAUUACUGUCCACUUCAGA